AAAACUACUAGAAAUUAGUUACUGAAACUCGACAGUACUUAUUCUUAAACCUUAUGAGUAGCCUACUAACCCAUAAUUAUAAAUAUCAAUCUUGCAACUUUUGCUUUUACAAUUUUUUUCUGUGUCAAUUUAUAAUAUUAGUUCUCAAAUUAGGAAAUCAAAGCCAAGAGUGAGUAGCUUGUCAACAACAGAAGCUAGCACAGCUAACAACAACAGAGUAAUUGAAGUACAGCCAGAUUUUCUAACUCUAUAGACUUUCUCAACCAAACAUACUGGGAGAGACAGGUGUUAGAGGAAUGGAAAGGAAAUGAUUGGUUUAUACUAUUGAUUGAAUGAAAUUAAUUUUUUUCCUGCUCUCUCCCAAUAUACACAGAAUAUUCUAUGAUUGUUUCAUAGUUCCUGAUACAUGAUUUAUUAAAGGCUUAAAGCAACAACUCAAAAUAUAGAAGAAAAAUGUUUGAGAUUUGAGGAGAAAAAAAAGGAGGGGGCUGAGUAGUUUAGUUAUACAAGCCAAUGAUACUGAGGAAAGUGAUUUCAGGCUAUUUCUUCAGCGUAGAAGCUCAUGAUUUCUACCUGGUGGCAUCUGUUCACAAUAGACUACCUCAGAGGAUACCACUUGACCCAAAAUUGACCCAUUGAUAGGCUGAGCUAUAAAACACGAGAUUUUUUUUUUUUUUUUUGGAAGUGAGACCUUUGCCCAAUAGAAAAGAUAGUGGCUAAGUCCUGCUGUUUAGCAGAGGGAACUAUAUCCAAACUCAUGGGAUAGAACAUGAUAGAAGAUAAUAUGUGGAAAGUAUGUAUAUAUGUAUAACUGGGUCAUUUUGCUAUAUAGCAGAAAUUGGCACAACAUUGUAAAUGAACUAUACUUAAUGAAAAAUCAACCAACAAAUUAAAUUUUAAAAAACCUAUACAACUAACUCUAAAAUUUCACUCUUGUCUUAAAGAGCAUCAUCUCCUGGUCAUACAACUGUGGCUUAGCUGGAGUAAUUCUGCCUAUCUUGGCUGAACUCUGGUUGGCUUAGCUCCUUGUUACCAGUUUAGUUCAGAUCUGCUCCAUAUGUGUCCCAUUCUUUGAGAACCUAAAGGACUCAUGGGCGUGUUCUUCUCAUAGCAGUAGCAGAAGCAUGGAAGGGAAGAUCCCAUCAUGUGAGUAUAUUUGAAACCACCGCCUGCAUCAUAUCUGCCAUCAUCUCAUUGGUCCAAAGUAGUUACACAGUGAAGCCAGAGUCAAAGGGUACACUAGUGUACCCCUGCCUCUGGUGGGAAUAGUUGAAACUCAUGUAGAAGAAGGUCUGGUUACAGGAAGGGUGAGGAAUUGGGAAUGGUAAUUUAAUCUCCUAGAGGAAAUAAUAAAUAGAACAGAGGAAGAUACCAAAGAUAUAGUUACUGAUUGAUGACAAGGAUGAGGACAGGAGCAAGGAGAUGCAUUUCACCAGGUGAUGUUCUUGCAGACUAUCCCAUGGAGGACUUGAGAAGGUAAUAAGUUACCACACUCUCCAGCACUGAACAUCCUGCAUGGCUUUCCAAAUCUGAGUCUCCUGAUGCUCUGCCAUACUUAAAACUUGACAUUGUUAUCUUUCUGUGUAUCCUGAGAAAAGAUUUCAAGUAAGACCUUUCCGUUUCCAUUUCUUUUCUUCUCAGCCGCACCCGCAGCAUAUGGAGGUCCUCAGGCUAGGGGUUGAAUCAGAGCUAUAUCUGUUGGCCCACACCACAGCUGAACUGAGCCUCAUCUGCAAACUAUACCACAGCUCAUGGCAACGCCAGAUCCUUAACCCACUGAGCAAGGCCAAGGAUCGAACCUGUGUCCUCAUGGAUGCUAGUCAGAUUUGUUUCCACUGAGCCACCACAGAAACUCCAGUUUCUAUUUCUAAAUGUAUUUUUUCUUAUUAAAGAGCAUGAUAUUCCAACCGUAAAAUUCUAUAUUUGAGCUUGAAUUCCAAGACUUUCUUUGGAGUAAAAAGGGUAAUGGAAUAGAGAUAGGAAUUGCAUUUCUGGGCCACUUUUCCUAUUCCUUCAUUUGUAUUCCUUCUUCACUACUAUACUCUCUGUCAUCCAUGUUGCUAGCCUUCCCCACUUCUCCUUCCUGUCAAUAUUCUUCCCUUUCCUCUCACCUUAUCUUUCUCCCAUUUCUCAUUUUCCACCCCCCUGUUCUUCUACAAAUUUCUUUACCUUUUCCCCUAUCUUGUCUAUGUCUUUGCCUCUUUAUCCACUCCAUUCUAACUCAUUCUAGCACAUUUCCCAAUGUUUUUUCCAACUCCAUUUAUCUUAUCUUACUUUUCCCCUCCUUACUUCCCACAGGGCUCCUUAAAAGUCCAGUUAGUGGGAAAAAAUCAUUAGAGUUCUUUUUAACUUGUCAUUUUCUGUCAUUGUAAAUGCUUAAAGCAUUUUGGAGGGGGGAGACAGUAAAAACUCCUCCAAAGUAUAGGUGGACUAUUCAGUUUCUGCCCAACUCUGGCUACUCAUCAUCAAGAGAAAUGACUCUCCCUACCACUGCUGUGUAACCAGAUGGCAGGUCUAUCAGUUGCAGCUACUGCAGGGAACAUUUUAUAUCACUGCAAACUUUUAAGUAUAUGGCUGGGGAGAAAGGAUUAAAACAAUCCUUAUUUCCCAGGUGAUUGUUGGCACCAUAGGGGGAAAAAAAAAAGGAUCAAACAAAAGUAAUUAUGACCUGAAUUGGUCCUCAUGUCCAGGUUACAGAGAACCAGCAUAGCUUCAGAAAAAAAAAGAAAAAAGAAAAAGCUUUAACCCUCACCAUAUCUCUGAUGGUAUCCUUGCAGAAAGGACAGGAUUUUAUUGUUCCCUUGGACCAGGGACCUUUCUUAUUUAAUCUCACAGGCAAGCUACCUCAUUUUCAGCUAUAAAAGAGCCCUGUAAUUACUGUUAUUAAUCUUAAAAUCCUGGGCCCUAAUUUCAAAGACUUCUUGUAACCUGAAAGUCUUUCGAAACAUAAUGGCACACAAAAAAAUUAAUAAAUCACCCUUUGCAAGCGGUGUCUUUGCUUGGUAAAUGCCAGAACUGAGGAGGAUAUAAACAUAUUCCCCAAACAGAUACCAUAAAGUGGAAAAUGACACAGUGUCAACCAUAAACAUGUCUUUGCCACAGCCUUGCUUAAAAACAUCCUCACUCAUGAACUUGAGAGAAGCCUUUCAAAUUGUAUUUCAAAAAAGAAAAUCGAUAACCUUGCAGAAACUCUACUUGGCCAGAAAAGUUUGAACUGUGUCUAUUGCAUCUCUCAGUGGCUCUCCUUUCCCUCCUUUAUCACCUUCACUUCUUUCCAGUCACUGCUCAAUCACUGGGAUGAGACAAGCACCCCUAGGUACUAAUCAACACAGUGU
rnacentral:lncRNA from 1 species